ACUUAUAAAAGUAAGAACACACUGCUUUUCUAUAGUGGGUCUCCUGAUACUGUUUGCCCGGUUGUUGGCGUGAAUAAAAUAUUCCUUUGUCGGCUUAAGCUUUUUGGCUUAAAUAUUUUGAACCCGUUACCGUGCUGUAACAAGAUUAGGAAUGCAGACU